rnacentral:rRNA from 1 species
GACGAACGCUGGCGGCGUGCUUAACACAUGCAAGUCGAACGGAAAGGCCCUGCUUUUGUGCGGUGCUCGGGUUGCGACCGGGUGAGUAACCCGUGAGUAACCUACCCUUGACUUUGGGAUAACUUCAGGCAACUGGGGCUAAUCCCGGAUAGGAGCUCCUGCUGUAUGGUGGGGGUUGGAUAGUUUCGGUGGUUGGGGAUGGACUCGCGUCUCAUCAGCUUGUUGGUGGGGUAGUGGAAUACCAAGGCUUGGACGGGUAGCCGGGCUGAGAGGGUGACCGGACACAUUGGGACUGAGAUGCGGCACAGACUCCUACGGGAGGCAGCAGAGCGGAAUAGUGUACUAGGGGCGGAAGGAUGAUGCAGCAAAGCCGCGCGGGGGAUGACGGCAAGCGGGUUGUAAUCCGAAGUCGCUUGUGACGAAGCGAGAGUGACGGUAAUGGGUAAAGAAGCACCGGCUAACUACGUG